rnacentral:misc_RNA from 1 species
GUGAAUCAUCGAAUCUUUGAACGCAUAUUGCGCUCGAGCCCUCGGGCAAGAGCAUGUCUGCCUCAGCGUCGGUUUACACCCUCACCCCUCCCUUACUGGGUGUGUUUGCUCUGUUUGCAAGCCAUUGGGGUGGAUCUGGCUUCCCCAAUCAAGCCGUUUAACUGCGGCAGGUUGGGUUGGCUGAAGUGCAGAGGCUUAAGCAAGGACCCGAUAUGGGCUUCAACUGGAUAGGUAGCACCGGCUUCUGCCGACUACACGAAGUUGUUGCUUGAGGAUCUUGCUAGGAGCCAAGCAGGAACG